AUGGUUGCACUGGAGUUCCGACCAGACGUUCUAAACUGUUAGCAUGGUCUCCAACUGUGCUCCAACCAGGAGGGGAACUGAAGGGAACAGUAAAGAGAAACCAUUUUCCAGAAAUAGCAGAUAUUGCAUUAUUUACAAAUUGAAAGUUUGUGGCAAACCUGCAUUGAGCAAGUUGCAGAAGGUGCCCACAGUGCCCAGCUGCGAAGAGAAGGACAAAGUCCUUUGGGGCAAAGGAUUCUGAGAGGAGAAGGGAGGUGGAUCCUGGAAGUAAAUAAACCCACUCUUAAAAAUGACUGUCA